AAGAGGAGGAGGAGGAGGAGGAGGAGGAGGAGGAGGAGGAGGAGGAGGAGGGAGACGAGAAGGUCGAGGAGGAAAAUAAAAUAGAAGAAGUGAAGCCAUGGUGGAGGAGCUCAAGAUACGCAGAAGAAAAGCAGGUACAGGAGGAGGAAGAGGAGGAGGAGGAAGAAACAGAGCAGGAGGAGGAGGAAGACGAGAAGGUGGAGGAGGAGGAAAAUAAAAUAGAAGAAGUGAAGCCAUGGUGGAGGAGCUCGAGGUAUGCAGGAGAGAAGGAGCAGUUGAAGGAAAAGGAGGAGGAGAAAGAAGAAGAGGACGAGGAGGUGGAAGAGGAGAAGGUGGAGGAAGUGAAAGAGUGGAGGAGGAACUGGAGACAGGCGAGAGAGAAGGAUGAGGAAACUGUGGAGGAGGAGAAGGAGGAUGAGACAGAAGAGGAGGAAGAGGAGAAGGAUGAGGAGACAGACCAGGAGGAGGAGGAAGAGGUGGAAGAGGAGGAGGAGGCAAAUAAAAUAGAAGAAGUGAAGCCAUGGUGGAGGAGCUCGAGAUAUGCAGGAGAAAAAGAGGAAGAGGAGACAGAGAAAGAGGAGAAGGAGGAGGAAGAGACAGAGCAGGAUGAGGAGGAAGAGGAGGAGGAGGAUGGGGAAGAGGAGAAGGUGGAGGAGGUGAAAGAUUGUAGGAGGAAUUGGAGAAAGGCAGGAGAGAAGGAUGAGGAGAUUGAGGAGCAGGGGCAGGAGGAGGAGACAGAGCAGGAGGAGGAGGAAGAUAAAGAGGUGGGGGAGGAAGAUAAACUAGAAGAAGUGGUGCCGUGGUGGAGGAGCUCGAGAUAUGCAAGAGAGAAGGAGAGGGUGAAAGAUGAAGAGGAGACAGAGCAGGAUGAGGAAGAGGAAGAGAAAGAGUUGGAGGAGGCAAAGAUUGAAGAGGAGGAGAAGGAGGAGGAGGCUGAGGAGGAGACAGAGAAGGAUGGGGAGGAAGAGAGAGAGGUGGAGGAGGAGGAAAAUAAACUAGAAGAAGUGGUGCCGUCGUGGUGGAGCUCGAGGUACGCAGGAGAGAAGGAGAGGGUGAAGGAAAAGAAGGAGGACAAAGAAGAGGAGCUGAUGAAAGAGUGGAGGAAGGACUGGAGACAGGCAGGAGAGAAGGUGGAGGAGGAGCACGAGGAGGAGGAGGAAGAGCAGGAUGAGGAGGAAGAGAAAGAGGUGGAGGAGGAAGAGAUUGAAGAGGAGGGGAAGAAGGAGGAGCAAAAUGAUGAAGAGGGAGC
ensembl:lncRNA